AACCAAACAUUUUGAAACCUAUUUUAAUACUUACAUGUGAAGUGAUUUUUAAAAAUUCAUAGAUGCUUUUUGAAAAUAGGAAAUGAGCAUUUAUCAUUUCAAACAUAAAGUUCAGCUAAAUGAACACAACCUGACCUAGAGUUGGCCAACUAGACACGUACAUAGCAUCGAUUAGAGGAAAUGCUCUCUGAAAGGCUGGGCAGAAAGAAAACACAAGUAUGCUCCCUAUUCCUGAGGAACACGUCAUUUAGUUGACGAGAUCACAGAAGAGGCCAUCUCCUCUGCGCUGGAGAAAAUGGAGCCAUUGAUAAAUCCCAGCUGUGUAGUGCCUGAGAGAAUGUGUGUUCCCGUGGGCUUCUCCACUAGCCACUGGGUUAAUGUGAACUCUGCGCCUCUUAUCAUUUUAGAGGCUGUUCAAAUGGCUGUAAAUGGAUAUGGUCCUUUGAGGAGUUUAUAACUCUGGAGAUUGUAGACUCGAUGGGAUUUCAGAGGGAGCACUGGGCAAGUACACAGAUGAACAACUGAAAAUACACAUCACAGCGUGUUCGUGUUCAGCUGGCCUUGUGCAGACGCGCAAGGGAGCUGAUACCAGAGGGUACUGCAGAGCAUCAACCAGACUGUGGCUCACUUAGAUUGGGCAAGAACUCCUGUUUUAACAGAAGAGGAAACACGCUUAACCAAGGAAGUGAUCACAGGCAACACUGUCGGGAGAGGAGAUGUUAGUGAGUCUUGGGAGUCAGGCUGUCACUGAGGUCAGCCUCAACGAGAACUGAGGCCAGAAUUUUCAACCACUGAAAGAACAACAGUAGUAUUUGGAGUUGUUUGGAGGUUCUUCGCCAAGAUGAAGAAAUUGGAGAGUAGAGGGUACUGCAGACUGGGAACUGCAAGACUAGAAGAUAAUGACUCCAGCUUUUUGACAAAUUCUUUGGGAAACCUGAGACCUCUCUUGGGCUACCUAUGGAAGGACCCAGAAGAAAUUCAGGGGAGGAGAACUGGGGAGCUGAAAGCCAAGGAACUGUGAAUCUUUGUUUUUCCUGGACCAAACUAAAGUGAACGUCAUUCCUGUCUGAUCUUUCCCCAUCUUCAAAAGUGGAAGCACUGGAAGCUCCUUUGUUCAAGUUUCUUUUAGAAAAUAGUGUAGACGGGAGGAGCCAAGAUGGCGGAGGAGUAGGACGGGGAGA